rnacentral:rRNA from 1 species
UACGUAGGGGGCGAGCGUUGUCCGGAUUUAUUGGGCGUAAAGAGCUCGUAGGCGGCUUGGCAAGUCGGGUGUGAAAACUCCAGGCUCAACCUGGAGAUGCCACUCGAGACUGCUAUGGCUAGAGUCCGGUAGGGGACCACGGAAUUCCUGGUGUAGCGGUGAAAUGCGCAGAUAUCAGGAGGAACACCGGUGGCGAAGGCGGUGGUCUGGGCCGGCACUGACGCUGAGGAGCGAAAGCCAGGGGAGCAAACGGG